rfam:Acidibacillus ferrooxidans strain ITV001 contig0001, whole genome shotgun sequence.
CCUGGUGAUGAUGGCGGAGGGGACACACUCGUUUCCAUCCCGAACACGGCAGUUAAGCCCUCCAGCGCCGAUGGUACUUGGACCGCAGGGUCCUGGGAGAGUAGGACGUUGCCAGAC